GACGAACGCUGGCGGCGUGCUUAACACAUGCAAGUCGAACGGAAAGGCCCUGCUUUUGUGGGGUGCUCGAGUGGCGAACGGGUGAGUAACACGUGAGUAACCUGCCCUUGACUUUGGGAUAACUUCAGGAAACUGGGGCUAAUACCGGAUAGGAGCUCCUGCUGCAUGGUGGGGGUUGGAAAGUUUCGGCCGUUGGGGAUGGACUCGCGGCUUAUCAGCUUGUUGGUGGGUAGUGGCUUACCAAGGCUUUGACGGGUAGCCGGCCUGAGAGGGUGACCGGCCACAUUGGGACUGAGAUACGGCCCAGACUCCUACGGGAGGCAGCAGUGGGGAAUAUUGCACAAUGGGCGGAAGCCUGAUGCAGCAACGCCGCGUGCGGGAUGACGGCCUUCGGGUUGUAAACCGCUUUCGCCUGUGACGAAGCGUGAGUGACGGUAAUGGGUAAAGAAGCACCGGCUAACUACGUG
rnacentral:rRNA from 1 species